CACCACGACGGCCGCCGCCGUCCGACCUCCAGCCAUCCCUCGCUGCAAGUGGAAUGCGACGAGGAACGGGACCAAUCCAGCAGCCCGAGCUGUAGGAGCUUGUGCCGACUGCCGUAUCCCCAGCGCCAGCGCCGCCGCCGGCAGCACGCGAGCGCUGCAGCGCCGAGAAGUAUGGACUCAGGGCACGGCGGCAUGCCGGAGCAGCGAGGGCCGUCAGCAGCGUGCGAGGCGAGCAGGAAUCAUCAGAUUCGCGCGGGAACUCGUGGAGGCUCACAGACCUGGCGGCGGGUCUAGCCGAGGUCACCGGCGGCAGCGAGCAGCGGGGACCUCACCGGCAGUUGUACCCGUGUCGCCGGUCCGAGUUUUUACAGGCCCCCGCUCUACUCCUCGUCAGCUCGUGCUCCGCCCCUUGCGCCGAUGCCCUCGCCAUCUUCCGUUCCAGCCGACACCUGCCUUCCUCCACGCCGUACGUCGACGCCCCGAGCGUGAAGAUCCAUCCCCAAUCGAGCCCUAGCACUAAUUAGCUCUCCAGCAGUAAGGAGAGGAACUGCUUCCUUUGCCGUCGCCACAUCCGAGCCGAAAAAGAGUCAGGACGCCGGGCAUGGCGCCGGACGAUCCUGAAGACGCGUUAAAGUUUCUUUCGGUUUGUGUUCUAUUUGCAUCCCUUGCUGGCUAUCGCUUUCCGCUUAACUCAAGCAUGUACAGUUUACUUGAGGAUUUUGCAGUUCAACUGAAAAAAAUGUUCUUUAGCAUUCUAGGUUUCAACUGCUUCAAGUUGCUGAAUGGAGCUGGUAGCACUACCUUCUCACUUUCUUGAUACUAAAUUUUGUUUGGCCAGCUGUGAAGAUUAACGUGAUUGCCAUUCUACCCUUGAUGUUGGUUGCUCAUGAUGUUGAAUAAAGCAUAACGAACAUGGCAGUGGUUUAUGCUCACAUUUUACUUUAUCUGUUUAGUGCUCAGCCAUCAGCUUGACCUCUUCCCUUAAUAGUGUGUGGAUGAGGUACUGAGGUACACUGAAAUUAGAAGGGUUUCUUGGAUCUUUUUUUUCGCAAAUGGCAUUGAUUACUGCAUUUUGUGAGUCAUUUUAUUUUUCUCUUUUUCGUUUCAGGAAUGAUGGCAACUGUAACAAACGAGAGUGCAGAGAAAAUCCUUGUCUUCCUCAUUGCACAGAGAUGAUAAUAGGGUCCUCUGCUGGCUGACACUUAGGUAACUCUCCUAAAAUAUCACAAAUGCAUGGUAUGGGCAAAUGCUUGCCAAGGGAGGGCUCGGUACUGAAAUGGGUGAUAGUACCAAGGGAAAGGGGGUGAUUCAGGUAAUAUCAUAACAAUGUUCUUAAAUCUUUUUUUCCUAAUGCUGAGAGUCUGUUCAAAAGUGGAAUUUACAGAAGAUAUCAAAGUUCCUGGAUAUUUUGACAGCCCUGAUUUUUGCAACUGUCCCUCUUCCAGUUUACAUCUCUUGUUCCAUUAUUGUGGCUUCCUGCAUGCACCAUAACCAUUUUAAUUAACAUUCCAUUGAACAGGGUACCUCUUCUGUCGGUGCAUUUUUUAUGUUUAGUGGAUUGAGCAUAAGUGUGCGACCGGAAAGAAUCAAGCAAGUUGCUUCGGCUGGAAUAUGCCCAAUUCUGAAGAGACUUUAUAGAAUACUGAUAAAAAUGUUUGUAUUCUGUAUCAGCAUUGCUCUCUGCAUAACUGGAGAAUACAGUGUGCUUGAGGAGUGAGGAUUACAGGCUAAGUGAAAAUUAACUACUUCUCACUCCUGCAUUUAACUCUCCCGAUAUAUACACAAAGUCAUGCAUUCUACCACCGUCUCUCCUCGAAAAACCAUGAUCUUGUUAGUCUUGCAUGUUAGUAGAACAUCAACUAAGGCGGUCUGAGAUCAAAGUUGUCAAGUUAUUGAUCAUUCUUGAUCGAGCUUGGAGCAGGUAUCUCCACAUUACUGCUGGUCUGUGUCUGAGUUACUGAGGCUUGCAAAUACGUUCCCUUGCGCCGACGCCCUCACAUCUUCCGUUCCAGCCGCCACCCUCCUUUCUCCACGCCAUACAUCGCAGCCCCGAGAGUGAAGAUCCGUCCCCACUCAAGCCUAGCUACACCUAGUUGAAAACAAGCAAGUUGCUCCUUCUGCACUAGUAUGCCCUAUUGUUAAGGUUAUGUGCUCGAUUAUGGCUUUAGUUUCUGAAGAUCCAACAAGUGGAGGAAACUGCUUGGUAAGUUUUUGAGGCAACCGCAUUUCAUUGUCUAGGAGAACAGUGAUCUUGUCACUCAUGAGGUGAUGAGUUGUCUGGAGAAUGUCAAUGCUAUUGGAGUUGGUAGCACUACCUUCUCACUUUUUCGACACUAGAUUUUGUUUGCCCAGAUGUAAAAGCUUCAUAGGCAUUCUACCCUUCAUAUUGGUUGGUUUUGACGUUGAAUAAAGCAUAAAUGGUUUAUGCUCAGAUUCUACUUUAUCUGUUUAGUGCUCACCCAUUACUUGAUCUCUUAACUUAAUAGAGUAUGGGUGAGGUACACAGAAAUUGGAAGGAUUUGUUGGAAUUUUAAUAAGGAAGAAAACAAUCUAAUGGAAAAACCGUGGAAUAGAUAUUUAUGAGCUCUUGUGUCAUUUUAUUUUUCUGUUGAAGUUUCAGGAAUUGUGGCAGCCUUAACAAACGAGAGCACAACAAGGAAAUCCGUCUAUUUUGCUCAUUGCACAGGGAUGAGAUUACUCAUUUGCUGAUAGAACAGCCUGAGAAACUUGCUUGCCUCUGCUGGCUGACACUCAUGUAACUCUCCUAAAAGGUCGCAAUGGAUAGUACAGUACAGGCAAAUGCUUGCCAAGGGAGAGCUCAGUCCUGACAUGGGUGAUCGUAUCAAGGGGUAUCUAUGCCGUCGGUGCAUUUUUUUUGUGUUGCAUGGUCAACCCAGGAUAAGUGUGCGACACCUGGAAGAAAACAAGCAAGUUGCUCUGUCUGAACUAUGCCCAAUCCUGAAGGGACUUUUGCAGAACACUGAUAAAAAGGCAGCUCCUAGCAAGGGACAUUGUCAAGCCAUGAGGGAUGGAUCGAUGAAUGAUCGUCCGGAAGGAAAGGAUUGAGAUAGCACAAAGCCAUGCUUUCUACCACCGCUCAUUUCUAUUCCGAAAACCAAGAUCUUGUUAGUCGCCAAGCAACCGAUCAUCCUUGAUCGAGCUUGGAGCAGGUGUCUGAGGUGUGAAUGCGCGGUCGCUAGAAGAUGAAAAUGGAAGGCGAAGAAGAUGAACUUUUGCAACCUUUCCAUUCAGCAUCUCUAGAGAUAACAACGAGCAAACGGCGCCCAGCGACGUGGUUGCAGGUCCGUCACAGCCUCAGGUACCGCAGCCAGCAUCCAUUGGGAGCGAAGCCCGACACCGGCGCGUGAGGGGAGCGGCAGGAUGCGGCUGCGUGCGGGGAGCCGUCAGAAGCCAGUACGGGACCAUGGCAGCGGGGUUAGCGGAGGUCACCGUCGGCAGCGUGGCCUCGCCGGCUGCCAUAUCACCGGCCUGGGUUGUUUUCAGGCCCUCGGUCUGCAGCUGCCUCUCCUCAUCGACUCACGCUCCAGCCCUGACGCCGACAUCCUCGCCACCGCCGCCGCCUCUGUCCACCCCACCGUCCGACACAAAUGGCCAUCCCCAUUCGAGCCCCAGCACCAACCAGCCCUCCGGGAUCCGGCACCAACUAACCAAAGCGCUCCAUUCUCCACCGCCGCAUCCGGCAACCGUCUCGCGCGGCCGGCCAUGGCGGCUGACGAUCCUGAAGAAUCUUUGCAGAAUACUAGUGAAAAGGCUUACCGGAUUCUGCUGGAGCGCCCAGCUAGAGACAUUCUCCAGGCCUGUAUAUGAGUGGAAUGCAAUAGAGGCUCCAUUAGAUUCAAUUUGCCAUGCUACCGAUCUUUCUCGAUAAGCUCUGGAUGAGACUGAAUUUGUCUCUGCUUGGAUGGUACUUAUCAUGUAUGCCAGACUUGGAGGAAUUAUUGGUGCUUCAUACAUGGCCAUGUUGUGGAUUACUGACUCAGUACUCUUACAUGUAGCUCAAGAAGUGCUCCUACCUUUCCCUUUUGUUAUAAAGGUUAUGUGCUCGGUUCGUCACUAUUGCGGGUUGUGGCUAAGUUUUUGAGGAUCCAAACGAGUGGAGGAAACUGCUAGCUUAGUUUUUGAGGUAGACACAUUUCAUUAUCUGGGACAAUUCAUGAGGUGAUGAGUGGCCUGAAGAAUGUCUAUGUUGUUGGAGCUGGCAGCAGUCACCCCAAUCUAGUGCUGUACUGUACUUGUAGCAGCAGUAAGCACCGCUGCGGAUCCUCUGCGCCGCCAGCCUGCCAACCCGUGACUGCGGGUACCAUCCUGUCCGUCGGAUCAGAUCCAUCGACGGUGGACGCGGAGGAAGCCAGGCGUUUGGGGUGACAGCUGCGCGCACGGGAUGUGAGGCUCCAGCACGCACCGAGAACAUCGCUCUCGCUACGGGGAUGUGCAAACCAGCGUGGAAUUUUGCUUUUCAGUUUUUCAGAAAAAUGUUUGCUAUUCACUUUUGCGUUACAGCCCCUUCUCUUUUCCUGA